rnacentral:tRNA from 1 species
CAUCAAGUAGCUCAAUUGGUUAGAGCCCAUUGCAAGAGGCGAUGGUGAGUUGGUAGUUCGAAUCUAUCCUUGAUGA